UACGUAGGGUGCAAGCGUUGUCCGGAAUUAUUGGGCGUAAAGAGCUCGUAGGCGGUUCGUCGCGUCGGCUGUGAAAACCCGGAGCUCAACUCCGGGCCUGCAGUCGAUACGGGCGGACUUGAGUGUUGCAGGGGAGACUGGAAUUCCUGGUGUAGCGGUGAAAUGCGCAGAUAUCAGGAGGAACACCGGUGGCGAAGGCGGCUCUCUGGGCCUUACCUGACGCUGAGGAGCGAAAGCGUGGGUAGCGAACAGG
rnacentral:rRNA from 1 species